rnacentral:rRNA from 1 species
UACGGAAGGACGAGCAGUGGGGGAAUAUUGCACAAUGGGCGCAAGCCUGAUGCAGCCAUGCCGCGUGUAUGAAAAAGGCCUUCGGGUUGUAAAGUACUUUCAGUCGUGAGGAAGGUGUUAAGGUUAAUAACCUUAGCAAUUGACGUUAGCGACAGAAGAAGCACCGGCUAACUCCGUGCCAGCAGCCGCGGUAAUACGGAGGGUGCGAGCGUUAAUCGGAAUUACUGGGCGUAAAGGGCACGCAGGCGGUUAAUUAAGUUGGAUGUGAAAUCCCCGGGCUUAACCUGGGAAUGGCAUUCAAGACUGGUUAGCUAGAGUCUUGUAGAGGGGGUAGAAUUCCAUGUGUAGCGGUGAAAUGCGUAGAGAUGUGGAGGAAUACCGGUGGCGAAGGCGGCCCCUGGACAAAGACUGACGCUCAUGUGCGAAAGCGUGGGGAGCAAACAGGGAUUAGAUACC